rnacentral:rRNA from 1 species
UACGUAGGGGGCAAGCGUUGUCCGGAUUUAUUGGGCGUAAAGAGCGUGUAGGCGGCCAUACAGGUCAGCUGUGAAACUCGAGGCUCAACCUCGAGACGUCGGUUGAAACCGUAUGGCUAGAGUCCGGAAGAGGAGAGUGGAAGUUCCCGGUGUAGCGGUGAAAUGCGCAGAUAUCAGGAAGAACACCCGUGGCGAAGGCGGCUCUCUGGAACGCAACUGACGCUGAGACGCGACGGCGGUGGGGAGCAAAC